rnacentral:rRNA from 1 species
UGCGGGGGGGGCAAGCGUUGUUCGGAAUUACUGGGCGUAAAGGGCUCGUAGGCGGCCAACUAAGUCGGAUGUGAAAUCCCCAAGCUUAACUUGGGAACUGCAUCCGAUACUGGAUGGCUUGAAUCCGGGAGAGGGAUGCAGAAUUCCAGGUGUAGCGGUGAAAUGCGUAGAUAUCUGGAGGAAUACCGGUGGCGAAGGCGGCAUCCUGGACCGGCAUUGACGCUGAGGAGCGAAAGCUAGGGGAGCAAACAGG